rnacentral:miRNA from 1 species
UAAGUUUGCCAACUGUCCUGGUUUUCCUGAGACUGAGAACUUUUAGUGCUAAUACUAGGUCAGCUAUGGGCAAACCAGGCUGGUUGGUCACCCAGCCCAAAA